GUGGUGGCUCAGCGGUAGAGCGCUCGCCUAGCACGCAUGAGGCACUGGAUUCGAUCCUCAGCACCACA
rnacentral:tRNA from 1 species